rnacentral:rRNA from 1 species
UACGAAGGGGGCGAGCGUUGUUCGGAAUUACUGGGCGUAAAGGGCGCGCAGGCGGCUCAGACAGUCAGAUGUGAAAGCCCCGGGCUUAACCUGGGAACUGCAUUUGAUACUACUGAGCUUGAGUACGGGAGAGGAUAGUGGAAUUCCCAGUGUAGAGGUGAAAUUCGUAGAUAUUGGGAAGAACACCGGUGGCGAAGGCGGCUAUCUGGACCGUAACUGACGCUGAGGCGCGAAAGCGUGGGGAUCAAACAGG